UACGUAGGGUGCAAGCGUUAAUCGGAAUUAUUGGGCGUAAAGGGUGCGCAGGCGGAUUUGUAAGUUAGAUGUGAAAUCCCCGAGCUCAACUUGGGAACUGCAUUUAAAACUGUGAAUCUAGAGUUUGUUAGAGGGGGGUAGAAUUCCACGUGUAGCAGUGAAAUGCGUAGAUAUGGGGAGGAACACCGGUGGCGAAGGCGGCCACCUGGACGGUAACUGACGCUGAGACGCGAAAGCGUGGGGAGCAAACAGG
rnacentral:rRNA from 1 species